UUUAUUGUGUGUCUUUUUAGCUCCCAGUGUGUUUUUAAUUUACAAUAUUUCUGAUUUUAGUGUGUAGUUUUUAUUUGUGUUUUGCACACUGGGAGUGUAUUGUGCUUUUAUUCUGAAAAGCCCAUACGGAUGUGACUCCCCACGGCGUAAUCGCCUGCACCUGUGGAGCGUCAAAUUGGCAGACUUUAAAUAAGCUUCCAGAGGAAGCAGGGCGGAAGAUGGAUCAAGCGGAAAGGGCAGGAAGCCGAAGCAGGAACAGAGGGGACCGAUCGCAGUAACCACGCUGGAGCUGUCGUUGGACGGAGAAGCCAGGGACUAACUGUUAGAAGGCCCCAUGUAGAAGCGGGCAGAGUAUCUACCUCGAGGUCAGCGCCCUGAGGAAGACGACGGUGCGGUGCAGCGGCGUCGAGAGGCCGCAGGACCGAGUACAGAUUGUAUCAACGCUUUCUAGGGCGACGGAGCCACCUCCGCCGGCGCCCCGAGUGUGUGCUGCAGUCCCUGCCUUUGCAGAUAAGACUCUAGACUGUUUUAUUAGACUCCCUCACCCCUCAGUUUUUAGCUUCCCUCAUUUCAACGCCCUUUUAUUAUUUGUCUUACCAUUUUUAGUCUUUUACCCGUGCUUUUAACCUGAUUUUAUUCUGAAAUAAACAUCAGCGUUUCUGCUCUAGGAUCUGUGGUCUUCUUCGUUUUAGCAACUGCUCUCUUGCCUGAUUUUAAACCAUACAGUCAUUUUUAAUACACCUUUUAUGAAAAUAACAAACAUACAUCAUAGCCCCUGCACAGUAGCCUUUCCUCAGUUCCUUCACCUGUGUUCAGGAGAAGACUGCAACUAGUGUCACCACCACAGCGCAAGUAUAAAUAGUUAUACUUAUAUGUUAUAGUCACAUUGUCGCGCUACAGGUCAGGAAUGGCGAGUUUAUAAGAGCCUUAAGGCUCUCUCUGGUGGGUUGAUCCCUUCUUGUACAGCACUUAAAGGACAAUUUACAAUUGAGUGGGAUCUAGCAGUGAAGUUGCAACCAACUGAAUACCGCUCACCUUCCAAGCGCAUAGGAGAAACUGCAAAUAAUGCAAAAAGUUCUAUCUAGAGCAAAGACAUGGUGGCUCAACAUGGCAGACUCUGUAUAAGACGACCCACCCCCCUCUGUAGAUAAAAACAGCUCUUUCUAAGGUAACAAAACACAAGGAUUCUAAUUUUCAGGUGAUAUACACUAAUGAAAAUGUACCUACUGGAUCUUGCACUUAUUUUUGCCAUGGUAAUGGCUGCACAAGUAUAUGCAGUGGCCGGCAACUCAUUAAAACAACUUUGUUUUGA